rnacentral:lncRNA from 10 species
AGCCCUGACACCUGAUAGGACUUACAAGAAAGGAAAAUCACAGACCAAUCUUUCUCAUGAGCACAGAUAUAAAAAUCAAAACAGAUGCAAACUGAAUCCAGCACCAUAUAAAAAGGACAAUACAUCAUGACCAAGUAGAGUUUAUACCAAGAAUGCAAGACUAGUUUAACAUUAGAGCAUUUAGUUGAUGUAACAAACUACAUUAACAAAAUUAAAGAGAAAAAUCAAGAUAAUCUCAAUAAAUACAGGAAAAGUGAGAAAAUUCAACACCCAUUCAUGAUACUCUGGGCAAACUAUAUAUGAAUAAAAGGGAUCUUCAACCUGAUAAAAACAUCUAUGAAAAAAACCUAGAGCUAACAUACUUUAAUAGUGAAAAACUAGAUGCUGUCCCCUGAUGUUGGGAACAAGACAAGGAUAACAACUCACACCACUUCUAUUCAAUGUUAGGUUAAAGGUCCUAGCCAAUACAACAAGGCAAGAAGAAAUAAAAGGCAAAGAUUGAGAGAAAGAAGUAGAACUGUCUUUAUUCACACAUGACAUGGUUAUGUGCAUAGGGAAUCCUGUAACAAGGCAUUUACAACAAAAUAAAAAAACAACUAAUCAAACUCAAUUUAACAAGAUUACAGGAUACAAAUCAAUAUACAAAAAUAAAAUGCAUUUCUAUAUACCAGCAAUAAACUUAAAAAUGAAAUAAAAAUACUAUUUACAAUAGCAUAACCACAGAAUAUUUAGGAAUACAUUUAACAAAAGAUGUACAAGACUUUGUCACCAAAACAACAAAACAUUGCUGAGAUAUAUUUUAAAAGACCCAAAUAAGUGGAAAAAUAUACCAUGUCCAUGGAUUGGAAGGUUCAAUAUUUUUUGUCAAUUCUUCCCAAAUUGACCUAUAAAUUCAAUGCAAUCCCAAUCACAAUCCCAGUAGACUUUUUUUUUAAAGAAAAAUUGACAAGCUUAAUAUAAACUUUAUAAAGAAAGGACCUGAUAGUCAAAACAAUCUUGGAAAAGAUUGUAGAACUUAACAAUACUGAAUUUCAAUAUACUAUAAAGCCACAAUAAUCAAGACAGUGGGGACUUGUGUAAGAAUAGAUACAUAGAUCAAUGACAUAAAUAGAUUAUCCAGAUCCACAGAUAUAUGGUCAAUUGAUUUUGACAAAGGCACCAAGGCAAUUCUAUGGGUAGGUAAAGAUUUCUUGCAACACACAAAAAGCACUGACCAUAAAAGAAAAAAAUGGAUAAACUGGGCUCCAUUACAAUUACAAACUUGUUCUUUGAAAGACACCAUUAAGAAAAUGAAAAGGCAAGCCAAAGACUAGGAAGAAAAUAGUCUCAAUACAUAUAUUUGAAAAAGAAUUUGUAUCUGAAAUAUAUAAGCAAUUCCUACAACUCAAUAAUAAAACCACUCAAUUUUUUUUUUUUUU